GGCAACGAGCGGGGAAGGCGGGGCCGGGGGCGGAGCCAGCCCCGGGGGGCGGGGCCACCCGGCGUGAGGGGGCUCCGCGCCGGGGCUCCUUUCUCUGUCCCUCCUCCUGUCCCUCCUGUCCCGGCAGCCGGGGGAGCCUCAGCGCCUUCAAACCAAGCUCCCCCCUAGCCGGGGCAGGACACAGUGCUGCGUGCUGCGGGUGAAUGGGGACCCUCGUCCCCUCUAGAGAAGCCCGAGCGUGGCGGGGCGGUGACCGGAGCUGAGGUGUUGCUGUCUGAGUGUUGCCGGCAGCGGCGCGCUGCGUGCGCACGGUGGUUACGGCAGGGUCACGGAAUGUGUCAGGAUCAGCACAGGGUCAUCUGGCCCGGCCCCUCGGCUCAGGCAGGGCUCGGGGCUGUGUCCAGACGGUGCUGGGGUGUCUCCAGUGAAGGGACUCCAUGCUCUCCAUGGGCGAUCUGUUCUUACAUAGCACAGAAUAUCUACGAGCAGAACAGCGCUAGUGUGCUGUGCUCCUACACAAAUGUCUCACGAUCCUGUGCCAGUCCAAGUAAUAUUUUUGGUCCCUCUGCUCGCAGGAUGGACUCGGGGCUGUUGUGAUUAAUAUGAAUUGAUCCAGUGUGAACUUUUAAUCGACAUCUACGGAGGCUGAAAUCUUCCUGUUGAGGCAGAGCCUUGCAGAUGGUUUAGUGGGUGUACACUGAUUUUUCAUCUGCACGCUGGGCCUGGAGAUUACAUUCGUUUCAGAGCCACAGAAAUGCCAUUGCACUGAUACUGAUGAGAGCAGAUGCAGAGCCCUGUAACCACCUUCUGUCUCUCUCUGCUAGAGGAUUGGAAGUGCAGGGGGGACAUGUGUCUUGUAUUGCCAUUACUGACUCUCCACGUCAUCUUCCCUGUGCAGAGGCCUCGGCUCCUGGGUCAGAGGUUCUGUGAAGUUAAUUAAGGAAUUCCUGUAUUCUAAUCCCCACAUCGGAAACACGCCGAGCCUGACUAACAUUUCUGGAGAGGCAUGAUGCAAAACUGGAAGUAAACAGGAUCUUGGUGCAACAAUACAUUUAUCUGAAAGAGUUUGAUUCUUAUCCUCUGAUUGGAACUAUUAUCAAGAUGCUGAAGUGCAUAUUCCUCAGCAAAAAUCCAUAAUUUCCAAAUAAAAGUGUGUGCUGUUAAUGCCAAAGAAUAGUUCCCAUAGCUAUAUGCAGUCUCACUUACAAUGUAAGAAACAGCCCUUGGUACAGCUGUUGAUGUUGUGCACCUGACAGUCUCUGUGCCCUGACUUAACACAUGCUGGCCCUGGCUUCUUCAGCAUUUUUUGUUUUUCAGCUACUGUCUUAAUUCAUCCUGUCAUUGUUGGUCCAGAUUUUUCAAAUCAACAUCUGAGUCACUUUGUCAGUGCCCCUCUGUAAAGUCCUUGUACUACAACUCCAGUGAGUCCUGGCAAACCACUGUGGCUUCACACAAGUGGGCUCCACGGCUCAUUUUCACUUCAGAAGCAGCCAGUGCUUUGUUUUUGUUUGGAAAUUAUGCUUUUCCUCUGCAAUUCUCUGCAACAGACUAAUGGAGGACCAUAAUCCCGCAAUUGCCUGACUUUUAUCCCACUUUCAAAGCAGGAGUGUUCCAACAGAAAUUGCAGACACUCAGAAUUUUUCAUCUACCCUUAGCUAGUUGUAGGCUGGAGAGCAGGAUUGUGAGACUGGGAAAUUAAUCGGUCUUGAAA